GACGAACGCUGGCGGCGUGCUUAACACAUGCAAGUCGAACGGAAAGGCCCUGCCUUUGUGGGGUGCUCGCGUGGCGAACGGGUGAGUAACACGUGCGUAACCUGCCCUUCACUUUGGGAUAACUUUAGGAAACUUGGGCUAAUACCGGAUAGGAGCUCCUGCUGCAUGUUGGGGUUUGGUAACUUUCGGCGGUUGGGGAUGGACUCGCGUCUUAUCAGCUCGUUGGUUGGGUAGUGGCUUACCAAGGCUUUGACGGGUAGCCGACCUGAGAGGGUGACCGGCAACAUUGGGACUGAGAUACUGCCCGGACUCCUACGGGAGGCAGCAGUGGGGAAUAUUGCACAAUGGGCGGAAGCCUGAUGCAGCAACGCAGCGUGCGGGAUGACGGCCUUCGGGUUGUAAACCGCUUUCGCCUGUGACGAAGCGUGAGUGACGGUAAUGGGUAAAGAAGCACCGGCUAACUACGUG
rnacentral:rRNA from 1 species